rnacentral:rRNA from 1 species
UACGUAGGGGGCAAGCGUUGUCCGGAUUUAUUGGGCGUAAAGAGCGUGUAGGCGGCUAGACAAGUCUGCUGUGAAAACUCGAGGCUCAACCUCGGGCUGUCGGCGGAAACUGUCUGGCUAGAGUCCGGAAGAGGAGAGUGGAAUUCCUGGUGUAGCGGUGAAAUGCGCAGAUAUCAGGAAGAACACCUAUGGCGAAGGCAGCUCUCUGGGACGGUACUGACGCUGAGACGCGAAAGCCAGGGGAGCAAACGGG